rnacentral:rRNA from 1 species
GCUAAGAAUCUUCCGCAAUGGGCGAAAGCCUGACGGAGCGACGCCGCGUGAACGAUGAAGGCCGUGAGGUUGUAAAGUUCUUUUCUUACUGAAGAAUAACCUCAGGAGGGAAUGCCUGGGAGAUGACGUUAGGUAAGGAAUAAGCCCCGGCUAAUUACGUGCCAGCAGCCGCGGUAACACGUAAGGGGCAAGCGUUGUUCGGAAUUAUUGGGCGUAAAGGGCGUGUAGGCGGUUUUGCAAGUCUGGUGUGAAAUACUGCAGCUUAACUGCAGAGACGCGCUGGAAACUGUGAGACUAGAGUACUGGAGGGGGACAUGGAAUUCCUGGUGUAGGGGUGAAAUCUGUAGAUAUCAGGAAGAACACCGGUGGCGAAGGCGAUGUCCUGGCCAAGUACUGACGCUGAGGCGCGAAAGCGUGGGGAGCGAACAGGAUUAGAAACCCCAGUAGUCC